GUAUUUAUAAAAAGUAUUUUCUGCCCGGUGACUUUUUGUUUAACGGCCGCGGUAUUUUGACCGUGCAAAGGUAGCAUAAUCAUUAGCUUCAUAAUUGGAGGCUUGUAUGAAUGGGUUUACAAAGUGACAGCUGUCUCUUGGCUUUAUUUUGAAAUUUCUUUUCUAGUGAAGAAGCUAGAAUUUUUUCGUAGGACGAGAAGACCCUAUUGAGCUUUACUUUGAUAAUACUUUUAUGUUUUGUAAAUUAUUUUCUUUAGUGUUUUUAAAAGUUUGACUGGGGCGGUUAAGGAAAUAAUAUAACUUCCUUUUAUUGUUAUAAAUUUUUUUGUAUUUUAGAUCCGAGUUUUUCGAGCAAAAGAAUAAGUUACCAUAGGGAUAACAGCGUAAUCUUUUUUUAGAGUUCUUAUCGAUAAAAGGGUUUGCGACCUCGAUGUUGGACUAGGAUAUCCUGAUGGUGCAGUGUUUAUCGACGGUAGGUCUGUUCGACCUUUAAUAUCCUACAUGAUCUGAGUUCAGACCGGCGUGA
rnacentral:rRNA from 1 species